rnacentral:rRNA from 1 species
UACGUAGGGUGCAAGCGUUGUCCGGAAUUAUUGGGCGUAAAGAGCUCGUAGGCGGUUUGUCGCGUCGGCUGUGAAAACUCACAGCUCAACUGUGGGCGUGCGGGCGAUACGGGCAGACUAGAGUACUGCAGGGGAGACUGGAAUUCCUGGUGUAGCGGUGGAAUGCGCAGAUAUCAGGAGGAACACCGGUGGCGAAGGCGGGUCUCUGGGCAGUAACUGACGCUGAGGAGCGAAAGCGUGGGGAGCGAACAGG